rnacentral:lncRNA from 1 species
GCCUAUCAGCGGCGAGUGGAGUAGCGACGGGCACCCAGCGAAGCCAAUCAGAGAUGGAAGUAGUGCUCUGAGGGUGGGCGCCGCUUGGUACCACCCUCCUCGCCCUCGGUGUCCUGGAGAAAGGCGGAAGGAAUGCGGACCUUUUUGAAGUGACGGACGCGCCAGCCUAUCAGGGGCGAGCUCAAGAGGGCGGGGCGGAAGACUGCAGGAAUGAAAUGGAUUGACAGACCAAAUAACUAAUGAGAGGCUUGAUUGAGAACCUACCCGACUAUCAGAGGACCUGUCCGGGAAGAGAAAUGGGGCUACGUCCAGGUAAUGCUACGAUGCUUAACGUCCCGAUGACGUCAUAGGUCAGCGCGCGCUGCCCUGGUCGCCCCCCAAGCCCAUAAAUGACCAUUUCCGGGGACCUCAGCGCUGGGUCCCCUUUCUCGGUUGCAGUCUCCAUCUCUAUAUUGGGACUCACUGGGUUAUCCUUCUGUGCCUCAGUUUCCUCCUCUGUAAACUGAAGAAACCCGUCUCAUGGAAUCUUUUGAAAAUAACCAGAUCAGCCAGGCGCGGUGGCUCACGCCUGUAAUUCCAGGACUUUGGGAGGCCGAGGCUGGCGGAUCACGAGACAGAAUCUCGCUCUGUUGCCUGGGCUGGAGUGCAGUGGCACUGUAUCCGGAAUUGGGGGGUUCUUGGUCUCACUGACUUCAAGAAUGAAGCCAUGGACCCUUGCGAGAUGGGGGUUCCACCAUGUUGGCCCGGCUGGUCUCGAACUGCUGACCUCAAGUGACCUGCCUGUCUCGGCCUCACAAAUGGCUGGGAUUACAGGCACGAGACACCGUGCCUGGCCCUGGGAACAUGUUUACAUGGACUUUGUUCACUUUUUAAAACAAACUGAGGGUAACUUACUAGAUCUGUGAACUAAAGAAAGAGAAAAAAAAGAAAGAAAACAAACAAGAACAAAGA